UACGAAGGGGGCUAGCGUUGCUCGGAAUCACUGGGCGUAAAGCGCACGUAGGCGGAUCUUUAAGUCAGGGGUGAAAUCCUGGAGCUCAACUCCAGAACUGCCUUUGAUACUGGCGAUCUUGAGUCCGGAAGAGGUGAGUGGAACUCCUAGUGUAGAGGUGGAAUUCGUAGAUAUUAGGAAGAACACCAGUGGCGAAGGGCGGACUCACUGGUCCGGUACUGACGCUGAGGUGCGAAAGCGUGGGGAGCAAACAGGG
rnacentral:rRNA from 1 species